rnacentral:rRNA from 1 species
CAGUCGCCGCGGUAAUACGUAGGUGGCAAGCGUUGUCCGGAAUUAUUGGGCGUAAAGGGCUCGCAGGCGGUUUCUUAAGUCUGAUGUGAAAGCCCCCGGCUCAACCGGGGAGGGUCAUUGGAAACUGGGAAACUUGAGUGCAGAAGAGGAGAGUGGAAUUCCACGUGUAGCGGUGAAAUGCGUAGAGAUGUGGAGGAACACCAGUGGCGAAGGCGACUCUCUGGUCUGUAACUGACGCUGAGGAGCGAAAGCGUGGGGAGCGAACAGGAUUAGAUACCCGAGUAGUCCCUGUCUCUUAUCA